AUAGAUAGAUAGAUAGAUAGAAGAUAGAUAGAUAGAUAGAUAGAUAGAUAGAUAGAUAGAUAGAUAGAUAGAUAGAUAAGCAGACAGACAGACAACAAUUGAGAGAGAGAACAGCACAGAAGGGUUAGAGCGAGAUAAAUAAGUUUGAUAGAUAAAUAUACUCACAUACUGCACACAUAUGCGGUUAUGUGCGUGUGUUUUAUGUAUGACUAUAAAAUACAUAAACAUAUUGAAUUAUUUCCAUUCUUUUGUAACCAUAGUAAGACGCUCAAGAUUUAGAAUAUAAUCUCUUUAUGUUUGCGAUAAGCGGAAAAACGAUACAAUGCUGCAAAUACUUACAUACGGAUAGAUAGAUAGAUAGAUAGAUAGAUAGAUAGAUAGAUAGAUAGAUAGAUAGAUAGAUAGAUAGAUAGAUAGAUAGAUAGAUAGAUAGAUAGAUAGAUAGAUAGAUAGAUAGAUAGAUAGAUAGAUAGAUAGAUACAUCGUAUCAUUUUUACAACUAUAUGGUGUACAUGUCGAUUUCUUCAGAACGCCGAAGUAGAUGAGAUAUUAAUUCAUUCUUAGCUAUGUAAUGGCAUGGUGUACUUAUCUAUCACAGGUAACACUAUCAAGAGAUAAGCAUCUUAUAUUUUGAUGAUGUCACUCUUGAUAGACAUUGAAACCGAAAAUAAGCAAUAUUUGGUCCUUUCGAGUGUUCGUACACAUACACCCAAUGCUAGAUAAGCUGCAUAAGGAAAUGUUUGGAUUAACUACUUUUCUUUCUAAAUUCACUUUUUAUUUAAUUAUUUCUCUUGACUAAAUACGACUAUUUGUCUUCAUCAAUAUUAUCUAUUCACAUUAUUUGAAUUUGAAAGUACAAAAUGUUCACAGGUUACUUGGAAAAAUAAAGUCCAGGAACAUUGAUAUCAUUUUUUUCAUUUUGCGGUGCUUCCAAGAAUAAAUCAAAUUAUAACAAUUUUGAAAACAAUCACUACUAAUACAAAACAAGACAAUGCGGCACUGUUUAUUGAAUUGACUCCAAUUCCUCAACGGUAUUUUCUUUAUCGAUUUCAGAAGAAUGAAAAGCAUAACUGACUCAAACAGAUUUGAAUUCAGAAAUAAUAUUUAAAAAAUUUAGUGUGGUUUUCUACCAAUACUUAUAACUUGACAACCAUGUAUAAUAAUAAUAAUAAUAAUAAUAAUAAUAAUAAUAUAAUAAUAAUAAUAAUAAUAAUAAUAAUAAUAAUAAUAAUAAUAAUAUGAAGUUCGUCCGUUUCUUGGUUUUAAGAGUAGUCGUCGAUAUGCACCAAAAAUUCGUAAACAUAACUAUUACAAAUUUUAAUUAUUUUUUGUUAAUAUAGUUACAGUUUUAAUGUAUUUUACUGUAUUAUGCUGACAAAA